CCUUCGAUAGCUCAGUUGGUAGAGCGGAGGACUGUAGAGGCUUACAGCUGAAAUCCUUAGGUCGCUGGUUCGACUCCGGCUCGAAGGA
rnacentral:tRNA from 1 species